ensembl:lncRNA
UAAUGCUGAUUUAAAAAAUACAAUAAAAAUACAAUUAUUAGUUUAGUUGAUUUCUUUUAAUUGCUUAGUAUAAAACAGGAACAACUUAAAGCAUUUAUGUUUUCUUGUUUAAGUUUUAAACUGAUUUUUUUUUUUUUUUAUUUAACAUUUAAACACCCAAAAAUACCUAUCCAAGCUAAUUUUUUUAUUUUAUUUUUUUAUGGAGCACAAAAGGAGAUGCACGAGGGAUGAUGGUUGCAACUGUCAAGCAUCCAAAAGCACGUAACAGUAUAAUUAAUAUAGUCCAUAUGACUCAUGUGCUACAGUCUGAAUACCCAAAUCUACAUACUGUCAAAGAGUGUCAAGACCAUACCAAGCAAAGAAAAUCCAACCCUGAGGAGGGCAGGUGGACGGAAGGAGGGCAAAAAAUGUUCCCUUGAAUGAACACUCGUGGUGAAGGGGUCAGCGUGCCAGGGCUUAAAAAACAAAUGACAGGAAAUGACAGACUUUAAGGAAAAACCUCAGUGAGACCUGAUGCUAAUCGGAACAAGACUGUGGAUGUGGCAGCCCUGCUAUCACCUAUCUUCCAGCACUAUAGGCAACUCAUAUUGAGGGAACACUUUACAUUCUUGUCAUUUUGAACAAACAACACCUUCAAACACCAGAUAGGACACCAUUGUCAGCUCUGUCUGAUCUGGUCUGUCCAUCAAUCUGUGGUGUGUGUGUGUGUGUGUGUGUGUGUGUGUGUGUGUGUGUGUGUGUGUGUGUGUGUGUGUGUGUGUGUGUGUGUGUGAAGAGGGAAUUAGGGGAAGGAAACUGGCAAGGUUGAAUAAUAAGAAAAGCAUAGAUGCUAGACGUGCCCACCUGUUCAUUAACUAAUUAAUCACAAGACUUAUGGUGCUAUCCUGAUUGUAAGAAAGGAUGAUGCUACUUUUUUUUAAAUCCAAAACCAACUAUGAAGGUCAUUUUUGCUGCAUCAAUACCAAUACUAAUACAUUGAUUAAACAGUUGUAAUCGCUAAUUAGUAUUAUAUUUGUAACUGAAAAUUCAAUAUUUAAACAAUUAUAAGAUUUUCUGAUUUUGUUUAUCAUACAGUAUAUUUAUUUAUUAUUUUUAUUUUUUUAUUUUUAUUUUAGUUUAUAGUUUUUAUUUUAAUGUAUUUUAAAGAAGUCUUAUGCUUACCAGUGCAGCAUGUAUUUGAUCAAAAAUACAGUAAAAACAGUAAUAUUGUGAUAUUUCAAAACUCUUUUUUUGUUUCAGUGUUUUAAAAUGUAAUUCAUUCCUGUGAUGGCAAAGCUGAAUUUUCAGCAGCUAUUUUUGUAGUCAUUAGUGUCAUAUGAUCCUUCAGAAAUCAUUCUAAUAUCAUCCAUCUAAAUCAUGCUGAUAUAUAACUCUAGUAAAAUCCUGAAAUGUGUUUUUGGUGUUUCUUGAUGUAAGAUGAAAUGUUAAAUAUCACCACUGCUUAAAUUACAUUGAUAGUUAUUAAUGAUCUAAAGACUGAUUAGCAAUUAGCCACAUACAUCUGUAACUAUAUGUCCACUUCAGUGUGAAAAGCUCUCAUCAUUUGCAUGCAGCACUUAUUUUGGGGCAUUGGUGGUUUAGGAUUGGUCCCUACUUCCAACAUGCAGCAUAACAUGAAAGUGUGUGUGGGUGGCCCAAGUGCCUCUACUAAUUCAAUCAUCCCCUCCUCUCAGCUUGCUUUUUUAUUCCAAUUUGAUUAGCAGAGCUAAAGCCAUCACGAUUUUGCCCAGACAAAAUGAAUGCUUGUAUUAAUCCUGCAAUUUCCAUUUAAAAUGCAGAGCAUUGACUUGAUUAAUAAGGGGGCCGAUACUGAAUAAUUACGCUGCGAACAUCAGCUAUGGAUGAGAGCACAGCUGGGGUUGCUUACAGAUGCCCUAUGGGAUCUCAGAGGGGUCAAACCAAAGCAUUGGCCAUGACUGAGGUGAUGAAUCCGUUAGCCAAUCUUUUCGACAAUUAACAAGCUGCGGCCCCUGUAUUAAUUUGCUGCCCCUGUAGUGGAGCCUGGUAAGAUGUGUCAGGGUCAAGGGUUAAAGGUCGAGAGCACAGGUCAAACUCACUGAUUUGGCCUGGAAAAAUCAAGAGAGGAAAAUAAGCACAUUACAUCGAAAUGCAUUACCCAACCUAGAGCUUCCAGUAUCAGAUGGUUUGCAAAUUAGCAUUCGUAUAUGAAUGGGCGAGCUGAGGAACAUGAAAAGGAACAUGUGGAAAACGUUUAGUUAGUGGUGAUCAAUCUAGGUGCACUGUGUUUGAGCAUUCAAUAAAGUGCAAUCGAUGGGUGCGAGGACAAACAAAGCAGGUGUUAUUAGCAGAGGGUUUAUAGGUUAACAUUUAUUCGGAAAAUAUAUUGUAAUGCUCGAUCUGCCAAAUGUAAUAUUAAACCACACAAUCCAUCGCCAUCCAUUACAAGUGUCACACUGAUCCUCCACCCAUCAACGUUUUGCUUUAUCAAGGUGCACUUCGUUCCAUCUUGCCUGCUUUAUCGAAUGCUUCCUGUCUUGUAGACGGGCUGCUCUUUUUGCAUGCCAAAUGUGUCCGCCUUGUGGGUUUGCUGCACUGAACCCUUCUGGGAACCCCUUGUCGUACACUGUGGCCCAUGUGAUUGUGAUGAUUACAAUGUACACACUGGUGUAAUGUCACCAUUCUUGCUCCACUUUAUGCCCAAGGUUCAAGUAGAGUUCAAAUCCCUCCACACUUUGUGGUAAUCACCUCGCCAGAGUCAAAAUUCUAGCUCAUGAGCCAUUUUUCAGUAAUGCCACCGUGAUCGUCAGCGUUAUUGACCUCAACCAGGCUUUUUCCUCACAUCAGAGCCCAAGUUUCAAAGAUGCGGGCUUUUCUCAAGGUUAAUUCUGGACAAAACAGUGCAGAGAGUUGUCAAAACGAACAUUAUUUGAAGGUAGCUAGGCUUGCCGCUUGGGAAUAAGUUGACUUUUAUGUCAGAACGAAAGCAUUCCCACAUGUUUGAAAAUAUGCUUAAUGCUCCUGGGAUCGUGUUUCGUGGCAGCCUCCUAAAACCUGCUGCAUCGCUCAUUGUUAAAUGCUGUCUGUGGGGGAAAUUAGCCCUGACACUGUUUUUAUUAUGAAAACACAGUUUAGAUGGGCCCAACCUCCCAACUUUCAGCUUUUAUAUAGCACUCCUCUGUAAAACUAUCCCAGUAUCUCUGUGCCCCCCUUUCCCUCUCUCACUCUCCCUCACUUUCUUUCCCUGUGAGUGGCUCUUGCCAAAUAGGGGCACAUAUGUUUCUCUGUAAUUAAAGCUCUUGUUAUACAGUGCUGCUCCCUUCAAGUAGAAAUGAUUAACUAAUGGAGCGAUUGAGGGGAAAUUAAUAGUUAUCUCUUCCUGUCAUUCCCCCUCCCUUGUUUUCUGUCUAACCCUCCCUCUGUUGAGACACCAGAGCACUUUUGUUCAGAGAAAUCGAUAAGCAAAGGUGACAAUAUCCAUGUUGUACUGUACACAGGUGUGAAAGCAUGAAAUUAAAUACACAGGGUUCCCAAGAAGUAGUUGGACACAUAAGCAACACUAAAGCCAAUGUAUGAAUGUCACUGCUUCUGACAAAGUGGCAUUUGCAGGCAAAUGCGGCACGCUAGAGCUUUUCUCAGAACUAACUUAUUAACUAUUAUUUUUAAUCAACAGGUCCCAAGGUCAUUCUGUAGUGGAUCAUUGAAACAGUUUCUUGACAUAGGUGCCCUGGCAGAGUAACCACAGGUGUAGUUACAUGACAUUAUAUGAAAAUGAGUACCUUAUGUUUGAUAAUAUGAAAGACACCAUAGUGACCUUUUUUAA